rnacentral:rRNA from 1 species
GAUGAACGCUGGCGGCGUGCCUAAUACAUGCAAGUCGAGCGAACAGAUAAGGAGCUUGCUCCUUUGACGUUAGCGGCGGACGGGUGAGUAACACGUGGGUAACCUACCUAUAAGACUGGGAUAACUUCGGGAAACCGGAGCUAAUACCGGAUAACAUUUGGAACCGCAUGGUUCUAAAGUGAAAGAUGGUUUUGCUAUCACUUAUAGAUGGACCCGCGCCGUAUUAGCUAGUUGGUAAGGAAACGGCUUACCAAGGCAACGAUACGUAGCCGACCUGAGAGGGUGAUCGGCCACACUGGAACUGAGACACGGUCCAGACUCCUACGGGAGGCAGCAGUAGGGAAUCUUCCGCAAUGGGCGAAAGCCUGACGGAGCAACGCCGCGUGAGUGAUGAAGGGUUUCGGCUCGUAAAACUCUGUUAUUAGGGAAGAACAAACGUGUAAGUAACUGUGCACGUCUUGACGGUACCUAAUCAGAAAGCCACGGCUAACUACGUG